rnacentral:rRNA from 1 species
CAAUAGCGUAUAUUAAAGUUGUUGCAGUUAAAAAGCUCGUAGUUGGAUUUCUGGUGGGAGCGAUCGGUCUGGCGCUUAGCGCGAGUACUUGCAUCGUCUCCGGCCAUCCUUGGGGAGAAUCUGUCUGGCAUUAGGUUGUCGGGCAGAGGAUCCUCAUCGUUUACUGUGAAAAAAUUAGAGUGUUCAAAGCAGGCUUAUGCCGUUGAAUAUAUUAGCAUGGAAUAAUAAGAUAGGACUUUGGUACUAUUUUGUUGGUUUGCGCACCAAAGUAAUGAUUAAUAGGGACAGUUGGGGGUAUUCGUAUUCCGUUGUCAGAGGUGAAAUUCUUGGAUUUACGGAAGACGAACUACUGCGAAAGCAUUUACCAAGGAUGUUUUCAUUAA